CCCAAUCACUCCUAGCUCCUCUCUCUGCUCGUCGACGCACGGCGACACCUACGCCGUCGGCUUCGACAGUCAAUCCUCAACGCCUGUCACAACAGAGAUCCAGCACACAUCGCAUGUAGGACGGGGACAUUAGAGCUGUUUGCAAGAAGGGAUCCCCAGGCUCGGCAUCAUCGAGGACAGGACUCUCUGAACCAAAGGAAGAUGACUAUGUAAUAAUGAUUCCCAAUUCCCACAUCUUUGCCCUUAUGCUUCAAGCUCUCAAGUUGCCCCCUGCAACUUACCAUCACAAGACAUGUCUGGGCAACGAGUCCCGUGUGAUGGUUACUUUCAAUUCAUCGUUGCAGUUAGUCAAUGGUUUGCUUGUUCCAACCUCGAUAU